rnacentral:rRNA from 1 species
UACAGAGGUCUCAAGCGUUGUUCGGAUUCAUUGGGCGUAAAGGGUGCGUAGGCGGCGCGGUAAGUCGGGUGUGAAAUCUCGGGGCUCAACCCCGAAACUGCACUUGAUACUGUGGUGCUCGAGUACUGGAGAGGAGAUUGGAAUUUACGGUGUAGCAGUGAAAUGCGUAGAUAUCGUAAGGAAGACCAGUGGCGAAGGCGAAUCUCUGGACGGUUACUGACACUGAGGCACGAAGGCCAGGGGAGCAAACAGG